rnacentral:rRNA from 1 species
CUCAACACGGGGAAACUCACCAGGUCCAGACACAAUGAGGAUUGACAGAUUGAGAGCUCUUUCUUGAUUUUGUGGGUGGUGGUGCAUGGCCGUUCUUAGUUGGUGGAGUGAUUUGUCUGCUUAAUUGCGAUAACGAACGAGACCUUAACCUGCUAAAUAGCCCGUAUUGCUUUGGCAGUACGCUGGCUUCUUAGAGGGACUAUCGGCUCAAGCCGAUGGAAGUUUGAGGCAAUAACAGGUCUGUGAUGCCCUUAGAUGUUCUGGGCCGCACGCGCGCUACACUGACGGAGCCAGCGAGUACUUCCUUGUCCGAAAGGUCCGGGUAAUCUUGUUAAACUCCGUCGUGCUGGGGAUAGAGCAUCGCAAUUAUUGCUCUUCAACGAGGAAUCCCUAGUAAGCGCAAGUCAUCAGCUUGCGUUGAUUACGUCCCUGCCCUUUGUACACACCGCCCGUCGCUACUACCGAUUGAAUGGCUCAGUGAGGCGUCCGGACUGGCCCAG